rnacentral:antisense_RNA from 1 species
CCUGUCUCCCGGACGAGGACCUCAACCCCUUCCCCCGCUCGGGGACCCCGGCCACCCGCAGCCCGGCCGCGCUGCGCCCAGAAACCCAUGAGUCUUCCUCAGCAGCUGUCGAAACUUGCCGGCGGUUGCUUGCUCACCUUUGCUGUCUCCCCUUCAGAAAGGGCUGGAGGGGAGGGCGAAGAAGGCUUGGCGUGGGGACGUCCGUCGAGUCUCUCAGUGAGGAAUGAGAGGCCCGCUUCUCCUGCGGGGUAUGAAGGAGGAACUGUAUCUCCUAUAUAUAUUAAGUUUCAUCUAUAAAGACAUCAGAGAGCACCUGAGAAUGUUUCAAGGUCACCAAAAGCUUUCUGAAAAUGCUUUUCUGCAAAGAAGGUUUCCAGAGAUAGAAGAUAACUCAGGAAGCUUAGAAGAGGUCAACCUGGGAAGACAGGAUUCUUUCUCCCCACCCGUGACUCUGCAGGAAGCAAUACCCUCCCCUCUGGGCAAGGUCGACCCUCCAAGUCCAGAUGAGAAGAGUUCCCUCUGUCUGCUCUUUCUUCUGCCUGAUGACCCAGAGGCUUUGCAGCUGUGAUCCUGGCAGCCCCUGGCCUCCUCAGGGAGCUGCAGAAUUCAAACCCUGGAAAUGGAGCUCUGCUUGCAGCUGCACCUGGGGCCUGACCUGCUUAGGACAGGCCUGUCUGGACCUAAGAGAACCCCACUGCCACCCACUCAGCUACUCCCUAACAGACUGCAGAGACCAAGUCUUUUUCAUUUCUUUAUAUCCAUUGAUUCCUCGAGUCAUUGAAACUCAAUAUUUACUGAGCACCUACAAUGUGCCAGGCACUGUGAUAGGCACUGAAGAAAGGGCAAAGGACGAGCAGAUGAAUUUCCUACUUGCAGGGAACACUGUGGUAGUGAGUAAAAUGAGACAUAGCAAAUAAACACAUAAAUAUAUAAUAUGUCAAAUGGCGAUAAUUGAUGUGAAGAAUGAUUAAGCAAAACAAGGAAAUGCAGAGACAGGGAAGGAGCAUCUAUCUGGUAUGAAGUAGUCAGAGAAGGCCUCUCUAGUCAGAUGACAUUUGGGCAGAACCUGGGGCCUGUCUCAGCACCACCUGUUCCUUUCUUGGCCACUUGCUCCCUGCAGCCACCACGGGCCCCUGUGGUUUUCCUGCCUAAGGCUCACCAGCCACAGGCCUAGAAUAUCUGGCUUCUCUCCCCACGUCCAAACUCAGCUGAAAUGCCAAACUGCAGGACCUUGUUUCCUGAGCAACUGCCAAUGGGGCUGAAUGAUGCAACUCGGAAAAGAAGAGGAUUUCAUUCCCCCUGAAUGGACUUUGCACCAGUGGGAGACAGGAAACAGGAGAUUGGAGGAUACUGGGCAGCUUAACUGCCUCUCCCUUUCCCCCCGCCCCGUCUGGUGCACAAUUUCUCCACACAGCCUGCUGUGUGUGGCCAAGCCUGUGCGCCGACUGAGUGUUAUGGGUUGAACUAUGUUCCUCAGAAAGAUAUGUUGAAGUCCUAACCCCCAGUAACUGUGAAUGUGGCUUUAUAGUAUUUGGAAACAGGGUCUUUGCUGAUGCAAUCAAGUUAAGAUGAAGUCAUUAAGGGGGUGGGGGCCUAAUCCAAUCUCUUGUCUUUAGAAGGAGAAAGACAGAGACACAUCAGGGGAAGAUGGUGAGGUGACAAUGGAGGCAGAGAUUGGAACAAUGCAUCUAAAUGCUAGGCAACACCACAGAGAGCUGCAAACACCAAGGCUAGAAGAGGCAGGGAAGGAGCCUCCCCUACAGGUUUCAGAGGGAGCAUGGCCUCGCCAUACCUUUACUUCAGACUUCUAGCAUCCAGAACUGUGACACAAUACAUUUCUGUUGUUCUGAGUGACAACAGUGUGUGGUGUGUUACUACAGCAGCUCUAGGAACUAACAUAUCGAGUGGCCAGCUGUGUGGGAUUGUACCUCCCAAGUAACCCUCUAAGACUUAACCUUUGCCCAGGGCUCUGUCUCUAGAGAACUGUGACAAUGAUAGGUAGACCUGAAUAAAGCGAAGGAUGAUAUCUGCAGGGAUAUUUGAGGACAGGGAGUGCUGACAAGGGAGGAGCCAGUGCAAAGGCCCUGAGGUGGCAGUAUGCUUGGUGUAUUGGAGGAGCAGGAAGGUGGCCAGGGUGUUUGGGGAGUGAAUAAGGGGAAGAGUGCUCAGAGGAGAAGUCAGAGAAGGGGCCAAAGACAUGUUCUCUAGGGCCAGAAAGGCCUUUGGAUCUUUUCGACAUUAUCUUCUUAACAUGUAAUUUAUAUAGUAGUAAAAUGAACAAAAUGGGUGACUAUUUUGUGAAUUUUUUAGAUACAUAAAACCAUGUGAUCACUAUCCAGAUCAAAUGUUGAACAUUUCCAUCACCCCAGAGAGUUCACUCCUGCUACCUUCCAGUCAAUACAACUUACCAAUCCUGAGGCAACCACUACUCUCUCUUUUAUCACCAUAAAUUUGUUUUAACCUGUUCCUUAAUGGCAUAUAAAUGAAACUACAUAGCAUGCUUUUGCUCAAAAUAGUGCUUGUGAGGUUCAUCCAGGUUGCUGUAUGUAUACUUCAAUUAUUAUUAUUGCUGAGUAGUAUUCCAUUGCCUGGACAUAUCACAAAUUAUUUCUCCAUUCUUCUGCUGAAUAUUUGAGUUAUUUGCAGUUUAGGCCUAUAAUAAAUGAAGCUGCUAGGAACAUUUAUGUGUUCCUCUUAUUUUGGUUGUAUGCAAUCAUUUCUCUUGGUAUAAACCUAGCAGUGUACUUUCUGGGUCAACUGGCUUAGAUUUAGGUUAACUGUAUUCGUUUACACCAUUUUAUACUCCCGUCAGCAAUAUAUGAGUUCCAGGUAUUCUGCAUCCUCACCAACACUUGGAGCCUUUCUGGUAGGUGUGUAGUGGCAUUGCAUUGUGCUUUUAAUAUACAUUUUUUCUGCUGACUAAUGCACACCUUUUUAUAUGCCUAUUAUUCACAUAUCUCCUUUUAUGAAGUAGGUAUUCAAGUCUUUUGUUCACAUUUUAUGUUUUUGUUAUGGCCACAUCUCACUUCCAGAAUCUGUAGUGGUUAUCUAUCGCAGCAUUAAAAAAGUACUCUAAAGCUUGACAGCUAAAAACAACAAACAUUCAUUCUCUCACACAAUCUCUGCAGGUCAGGAACCUGGGUGCAGCUUCAUGGGGUGGUUCUGGCUCAGGGUCUCAGGUUGCAUUUGAGCUGGUGUCUGAGGUUACAGCCCUACCUAUCAAAGCUGAACCAGAGCCAGACUCCAUGUCUAAACUCACUUAUGUGAGCUUCAGUGUGAGAAAUGUAUGAAUUUUGUUUGAUGAAAUAUUGAAAAGCUUAACAACUUCCUCCUACUCUCAUUGGCCUCUUAGUGCCCAGUGUCUGAGUCUGAAAAAUCUCAUCUAUAGGAAUCAAUGGCAGCAAAGACAGAACCAAGGUCCCACGACUAUCGGGGAGGUUGGCAGAUGAGUGAGGAAAAAGGGGUGUCAGCAAUCUAAAAAUAUUCAGGCUCACAGAAAUAUAACUGUUUGAAAUGACUCACUUUUAUUAAGAUCCUGCCAUCUCACUUACCAGCUUAAAAAAAAAUAGAUCACAGCAGAAUGUUUCAAAUUCUCCAUAAAUGGCCAUUUGAUCCAGCAACCUACCUGUGGAAAUUUGUGCCAAGAUUAGAAUCUACAAAACACAUACAGAGAUGCACAUUGAAGUAUUAUUUAUUAGGAAUCUAAAUUGUGGAAUCGUUAAAGAGAGUACAUAUUCCCUCAAAAGAAUACCACGGUGUUAUUAAAAGUAGUCAUUAUGAGUGGUUAGGAUAUAAUAUAAUAUUACAGGAAAUUCUUAGGAUAUACCAUUAAGUAGAAAAAACUUUUCUUCCCAGCUUUUCAAUGUGAAAAUUUUUAAACCUACAGGAAAGUUGUAAGGCCAGAACAAUAAAUGCUUGUAUAGUCUUCAUCUAGAUUCUCCAACAGUGACCACAGUUGCCACAUCUCUUUAAGUGUAAUGCACAUCCUUUGAGAGUAAGUGCAGACAUUUUGAUACCAUGGUCUAAGUACUAUAACACCUAUCUAAAAUUGUAGAAGGAAACUCUUCUACAAUUUUCACACUCAAGACAUUUAACAUUGAUAUAAACUUUAUAUUCAAAUUUAUCCAAAAGAUUUAAAACUAUCUCUUUGGCAUGUUUUAUCCAGGACUCAAUGGAGGAUUGAGCAUUGCAUUUAGUUGUUGUGCCUCUUUAGUCUUUUUUGAUCUAAAACAAUCCCUCAACCAUUUUUAAAAAUUCUUUCAUGACAUGGACAUUUUUUAAAGACUCUGGAACAGUUAUUUUACAGAAUAUCCUUCAAUUUGGAUGGUCUGUUUCCUCAAGAUUAGAAAUUACAUGAACUUCUUGGCUAACUUCUCCAUUUUAUUUUGUGUUCAAAAUAUAUUACUCUUUCCCAUGUCCUGUGAAAAUAAAAAAUCUCUAAUGUGUUUGUGAAAAAGAUUAAGCUAAGAUUUUGUUUGGAUGCAGUGUGAUUUGGACUUAGGUGUGUGUAUCUGAACUUCAUCCUUUGUCAUCAAGAGAACAGUAUAAUAACUAAGAACAUGUAGCUUAAGAAAUCCAGGCACUUGAGAGCCACUGUUAAGUAAACUCUAAUUCCCACAGCAGAAAGAA